rnacentral:rRNA from 1 species
GAUGAACGCUGGCGGCGUGCCUAAUACAUGCAAGUCGAGCGAACAGACGAGGAGCUUGCUCCUCUGACGUUAGCGGCGGACGGGUGAGUAACACGUGGAUAACCUACCUAUAAGACUGGGAUAACUUCGGGAAACCGGAGCUAAUACCGGAUAAUAUAUUGAACCGCAUGGUUCAAUAGUGAAAGACGGUUUUGCUGUCACUUAUAGAGGGAUCCGCGCCGUAUUAGAUAGUUGGUAAGGUAACGGCUUAGCAAGGCGACGAUGCGUAGCCGACGGGAGAGGGGGGUCGGCGACCUGGGAGCGGGGACAGGGACCAGACUCCUACGGGAGGCAGCAGUAGGGAAUCGGACGCAACGGGCGAAAGCCUGACGGAGCAACGCCGAGUGAGUGAUGAAGGUCUUCGGAUCGUAAAACUCUGUUAUGAGGGAAGAACAAAUGUGGAAGUAACUAUGCACGUAUUGACGGUACCUAAUCAGAAAGCCACGGCUAACUACGUG